AGUGUUUGAUUAACCAGAGGACUGAUGUCUUGGGGGACAUCUUUAGAAUUCCGCUUAUCACAGAGCAUUUGUAGAUGAAGUGGGUACCAGCAACAUGGCAGCCAUCCAGAACCUAAGGACAAAGAAGACCAUAGGUUCAUCUCUGGGACUGCAUUGACCAUCAGAUUUCAGAGGCAGUGAUGUCGGAUAUCCAGUGUUAUCCUGCUUCCUGCUCUUGGUUGUGAUUCCUCUGUUCGCCCCUGUGGUUCACAGCCUGGUAUAAAGUGCUGCCUCACAAAACUGAGUAGGGACUGUGUCCACACUUUGGGGCACCAGUCCUUUUACUAUGAAAGUAAGCACUACCUAGUGCUACCCUAAGCCGAUAUUCCUGAGAUCUGAUCGACUGUAAUCAUCAUCAUCAUCAAAGGUAUCAUAGGUAUCAUCAUAGGUAUCACUCGCUUGCUUACUAUGUGUCAGACAUUAAAAUAGGUGCUUUAUAUGUGUAACUUAUUAAAUCUUUACAGUGCUCAGAUGAAUUAGGCAUUAUUUUUAUUCCCAUUUUCCAAAUGAAGCCCAAAGAGGUUAACCAAAUUGCCCACGUCCACUAGUUAGCACAAGGCAAGCUGCAACCGGGUCACAUCAUCACCACAGCUGCAAAGGAGGCUGGGAAGCUGAGUAUCUAGCACAUGAGAAAACCCCCAUGAUCAACAUGGGCCAGUGGUCCUCAGAGUGUCCUGAGGGUCUCCUUUGCCAUGGUUCUGCAAGGUCUUCCUUUCCAACUACACCUCUGUAUGACACUGAAUUUUCGACUAAAACCACAUAUCGCACCAGACAACACAGAAGAAGAUACGAGCAUCCAACGGUCUUCAAGCAAGGCAGAUGUUAAAGAGAAAAAUCCCAUGAGGCCAAUCAGAAAUCAUCACCUCUAACUGGAAGCCUUUAGGUCUGACGGACAAAUACAUUGGACUGAAGACAAUGUGUGAUGUACAUUAACAAGGAGAAAUUCCCCAGAAAAGGAUCCUGCUUAAUUUUGUUUCUUGUCCCAGUAUUUCCAGACAUUCGAGCAGAGAGAGAAAGAGAGAGAGAUAAAGAGAGAAACACUCAUCCGCAGUUCAUGGAACACAUUUCAGGAAAUACCUAGGGGCUAUUUUGAUUUUUGUCCUGAGGAGCUUGGACUCAGAAACCUGCAGGUUCUCGUCCAGCUCUGAUGUGCAGAGUUUUCUAUCGCGCUUCUGAUUCCAGCUCCAACUUCUGCACGCCGCAGUCUCCGUGUCCUUUUAAAGUCUCUCUCUAACUUUGAUCAAUCGUGACGAGACACCCUGCUGCCAGGUAUCCUUCUGGAAGGAUUUCUACAGCAUUAAUCUAAUGACAAUCUUUGCCACCCCAGGGUGUGACCAUUUCCCCACGUCCAUGUUGAACUUGUCAGAAGGAUUGUGUCUCAGAGAUUCUCAAAUAUCAAUGGCUUCUUUUGACCACCUAAGCAGUCAGGUAUAUUUUAAAUGGCUACUGUCCUUAAACCACACUGGCCCAGGGGAGUCUAACCUCUGCCCAGUGUUGAUAGGCAAAAUAUUUAACAACCAAAAUGUCCCAGUGAUGACUGAUCUUGAUGUAAGCCAACCCCAAACAACCAGACAUCCACACUGGUGCAUUCGAGCUGAAGACGAGACCUGCCUCCAUCUACUUUCCGGCCCUGGUCCACCCGGAAGGGCUUCCUUCAUUCCUCUUUUUGGAGGUUGAAUACAAUUCCUCACGUUAUGAAACCAAGAUUUUCCAGAUUCUUUGCAGUUCAUUACAAGAGAACAGGCAUUCUUCUGGAGAUUUUGUUAUCUGGAAAUUUCCUGUGGUCACAUCCUUCUCCAAAGGCCUCAUCAAAAGAGCGCAUGCUAGACUUCUCUGCUUCAGACAGCUGGAAAGCACGACAAGAGAGAGAAUGCCCAGGGCACAGAGAGAUCAAGCGGGCAGGAGGCAGGGGGCCU
ensembl:lncRNA